rnacentral:rRNA from 1 species
ACGCACGCUGGCGGCGUGCUUAACCCAUGCAAGUCGAACGGAAAGGCCCCUUUGGGGGUCCUCGAGUGGCGAACGGGUGAGUAACACGUGAGUAACCUGCCCUUGACUUCGGGAUAACUUCAGGAAACUGGGGCUAAUACCGGAUAGGAAUCCUUGCUGCAUGGUGGGGGUUGGAAAGCUUCGGCGGUUUUGGAUGGACUCGCGGCUUAUCAGCUUGUUGGUGGGGUAGUGGCUUACCAAGGCUUUGACGGGUAGCCGGCCUGAGAGGGCGACCGGCCACAUUGGGACUGAGAUACGGCCCAGACUCCUACGGGAGGCAGCAGUGGGGAAUAUUGCACAAUGGGCGGAAGCCUGAUGCAGCAACGCCGCGUGCGGGAUGACGGCCUUCGGGUUGUAAACCGCUUUCAGCAGGGGCGAAGCUUGUGGUGACGGUACCUGCAGAAGAAGCACCGGCUAACUACGUG